rnacentral:rRNA from 1 species
AGCAGCCGCGGUAAUUCCAGCUCCAAUAGCGUAUAUUAAAGUUGUUGCAGUUAAAAAGCUCGUAGUUGAAUUUCGGGGUCAGUAGGUUGGUCGUGCCACUGGUAUGCACUGGUCUCACUGAUUCCUCCUUCCUGAUGAGCCGUAAUGCCAUUAAUUUGGUGUUGCGGGGAAUCUGGACUGUUACUUUGAAAAAAUUAGAGUGUUUAAAGCAGGCUAACGCUUGAAUACAUUAGCAUGGAAUAAUGAAAUAGGACGAUCGAUCCUAUUUUGUUGGUUUU